rnacentral:rRNA from 1 species
AGUCACACAUUAGAUACCCCGGUAGUCCCAGCCGUAACUAUGCGCGUUAGGUGUAUCGGUGACCACGAGUUACCGAGGUGCCGAGGGAAACCGUGAAACGUGCCGCCUGGGAGUACGGUCGCAAGGCUGAAACUUAAGGAAUUGGCGGGGAGCACCACAACAGGUGGAGCCUGCGGUUUAAUUGGACUCAACGCCGGGAAGCUCACCGGAUAGGACAGCAGAAUGAUUGCCGGGCUGAAGACCCUGCAUGACUAGCUG